UCAGACUCGAGAGAAGUCUAUUUCGUAUUUUGAUUGUGCCGUACAGCAUGAACUUGCAAUAUCCAAUUUAAUACAGGGUGAUUUUCGCUGACCUCUACCAUGCCAUAGCUAGCGCGCAGCGGGGCGAUCAUCCUCUCCUGCAUGGAUUUUCUGCAGACGCAUUUUAAUUAUUGGUGAAUUGGUGAAGGCCUGUAUACUGUCUGCACGCACGGUGUAGAGUCGCAGUUCUGAGCCCCCGAAAAAACCUCCUAUGCCGGUUUCAAAUUGAUGUCUGGGUCACAUAUGAAAUACUCUCUACACAUGUACACAGAGUUUGUUUAAGCUGCUGUUACUGUUUCCUUGGAGAUUGCAUCAAAGAGAGCAAUGGCAGAUAAAAUGGAGUUUGAGUUUGAUAAUCCAAGCAAGGAUAAUCAACAGUUUCAAGGCUCUGAGGAUCAAAACACAAACCCACAAAGUUUGGACUUAAGCUCCUUUGCAAUGCCCUUCCUUGAGAGUGAAGAACAAAUGGAAGAACCAGAAGGAGAGAAGAAACCACUUGUUAGUAGGUCAGGAAGUCAGAGUGGAUCCUCAUCCCCACAGAGCCCUCUGGAAUCUAGAAGAUACACAUUCCCUUCCAAACCCAUGAAGAGACGGUGGAAUAGUGGUCCUACUGCCCAGACAUCCAGUUUGCCUGGCAAAGUGAUGUACACAAGUCCCCAGCCACGUACAGCUGGGAAUUCACCACAGACAUUGGGUUUGGAACGACUGAAACUGAAGGAUUAUCAGAAAGAACCCGAAAGACGCACGCCAAGGAAGAAUCUGCAGAGGCAGUUCUCUGAGGGUGAGCAGUUUACAACAGCAUUUCAUCCGUUACAAGCCAUUGCUGAUAAUGAUUUAGGCAGUAUGGAGGUUGAUUCAGCAGAAGCUGAGGAGAUGACAUUUGUGCGCUUCAUGAAGAGUCAUAAAUGUUAUGAGAUCAUUCCAACAAGUGCCAAGCUGGUGGUAUUUGAUGUUCAGUUGUUGGUUAAGAAGGCAUUCUUUGCUUUGGUGUACAAUGGAGUCCGAGCAGCUCCCUUGUGGGACAGCGAAAAACAAGACUUUGUUGGUAUGCUAACAAUAACUGACUUUAUCUGCAUUCUGGAGAACUACUAUAAGUCCCCAUUGGUGAAAAUGGAUGAACUGGAAGAGCACAAAAUAGCAACCUGGAGAGAUGUAUUGAGUAAGAAGGCAAGACCUCUUGUUUGGAUUGAUCCAGAUGCCAGUUUGUUUGAAGCCGUUAGGAUGCUGAUUCAAUCUAAGAUUCAUCGGCUACCAGCUCUGGAUCCAGUGACUGGUAAUGUCAUCUACAUUCUCACUCACAAGAGGAUCCUCAAAUUUCUUGGAUUGCUGAAAAAUGAAAUCAGGAGUCCAGCGUUCUUGAAGAAGAGCCUGCAGGAACUUGGUAUUGGUACAUAUACUAACAUUGCAACUGCCAGGCCCAACACUCCUUUGAUCAAGGCUCUACAGAUCUUUGUUGACCGUAGAGUAUCAGCAUUGCCAGUUGUGGACGACAACAACAAGAUCAUUGAUAUCUAUGCCAAGUUUGAUGUCAUAAAUCUUGCCGCUGAGAAAACCUACAACAACUUGGACAUCACAAUUCAGCAAGCCCUGCAGUUUCGACAGACGUACUUUGAAGGCGUUCAUACAUGUCAAGCUUCUGAGAAGUUGGAAACUAUCAUGGAGAAAAUCAUUAGAGCAGAGGUUCAUCGUCUGGUAGUAGUUGAUGGUGAGAACCAUGUUGUAGGAGUUGUAUCGCUGUCUGAUUUGCUCAACUUUCUUGUGCUUCGGCCAGCAGGAAUAACAAGCAGGAAAUCAAGUGCUAAUUCACCAGAAACUGACAAAUGAAUUGAUGCGAGUGCAAGAACUUAAAGAGCACGACAGUGGCAAACACAGCCUGUCACAUUGAACAUAUGGAAUAAUGUGUAGGAAAAAGGAAAGGGGUCUCUGUAUGGCUUACUGCUUAUGAAGUAUACAUGUAGUAAUAUCAUGUAUCAUGUAGUUUUGGUUAAAAGUGAGGUGCUUUUAUCAUAAGCCAUGCUACAGUUCUUCCAAAUAAUUGACACUUCUUGAGCAUUUCAGAUGUUGGUGGCAGUGUGAAGAGCUGAAUUGCUUGCAGAUUUCACAUCCACAUUGUUCCGGGGGACUUGUGUAUUUUUUUUGCCUGGGUAAUUUUGUGGGUCCCUUUUAUAUGGAUUACAUUAUACAAAUGAGAUGUGUGGGAAAUCUCCCUCUCAAGAUUUGUGUUACAGAUUACCUGGUAUAAAGCUAUAUGAAGCCAGUAUGAACGAUAAACAGUUGCGGUGUGGGAUUUACAAGUGAUGUUGUAAGAAAAAAUUUAUAUUAUUAUUACAUAUUUUAGGUAAAUACAUGUACCUUGUACAAAUACCAUAAUAACAUGUGACAUAUGACAAAAGCAUUUGUGUGUGUAAAUAUAAAAAGGUUUUGGAAGCAAAGUACAGCAAAUAGUGAAGAUUCAGGAUAGUUACUCCAGCUGCCUAACCAAGACAGACAACUCAUGACAAGUAUGUACAUUUAGUCUCCCCUGCAUGAUAUACAUUUAGGUGGAAUAAAUCUUAUAUGGAACUCGAUUCUUGUUGGUAAAAUUAAUGUUUAAUUAUUUAAUAGUAUUAAUUGUAAAACAAUUUAUUUGAAAGUCAUUGUGCAGGUUGGAAGAGUGUUAUGAUUGCAUUUCAACUUGAGAAAAAUCAUUAUUUUGGAUAUGUCAAGGAUCCAAUAACCAGGCACCAGGAAAGAGAGCAUCUAGUGGUAAUAUAAUGCCCCGAGCCAUGGGGACCAGAUGAGGUCAUUAAUACAUGGAGGUCAUAGUGAUGUACAGUAGCAGAGAAUGUUUCAUCAACAAAAGGACGGGAGGAACAAUACCAAUAUAUAUGGUCUCAUAAAGCAGUUCCAAAAAGUUAAAGAGUGGGGAGAACAUUUCUGUAACAGCUGAAAAAAGUAACAAUAUGACUGACUUAAAAAAGUACUGUGAAUAAUGCAUUGCAAGACAGCAUGCAGGUUAUGCGACAUGAUGGAUACCGAGACAAUCUGUCCCAAUAACCACAAUAUGUUUUUUCUUCUGAAUUUAAUGGAAGUAAAGUAGACCAAUUUUGGGCAGCGGCGGCAGAACGGUUUUCAAACUGGGGGCAUCACCAAAAAGGGGCACUUGCUCAGUAAAAGGCAUCUUCUGUCGUUGCAGCAGCCUAUCAAGCAUUUUUCUGUGUGGCACAUCCGUGCUGAAAUGUCACAUUUUUUUUCACCGGAAAAUCAAAUGAUUGGGGGGGGGGGGAGUAUUUAAGUUUGUAAGCAUGACACUGCUUAUUUUCAGCAUUUACUGUGUUCCAAUGUGACACAAUUUCUGUAAGUAUUGGGUACAUGCAAGUCUUCAAAUUUCCAUUCAUAAUUUUGCCUGUAGAGAUUGCUGUUGAUUGCAAAAUAAAAUGUCCAAUAAUUCCAUUGUCUUUGCAUCCAGUGUUGCUCUUUAAAUUGUCCACUUUUUCCUUUCAAAGAUUGUUAGAGAAUUUUUUUUAAAUAUCCAAUUUUUGAAAAUGUUCAUAAUAGCUAUCAACUGUUAAUAUAAAACUGUAAUCCAAUAUGCUCUAGAACGAAUAAGAUACAUAUUUGUAGAUAGCAAAGUCGGAACAUUAUUCAAAGUUAUUAAAAUUGUUACAAUGUUGGAAAAUAAAUUGUGAGCAUCAGUCACAAAGUACAAGUCUU
rnacentral:misc_RNA from 1 species